GUGCAGUGGGAAGUGCAAGGACAGAAGAUCCUGUGACAUUGAACCGUACAAAGCCAACAUAAAAAAUCAUCAACAAUAUCCUUUCCUCCAGUGAUGAGCUGGAAAUAAGUUUCUGCACUAAAGACCUUCCAUCUUCCUCCCUUAUACCACUGAGGGGUGAACAAGAAUGAUCAUUCUUGAAUUUUCUCUCCAUUCUUCACUGCUUCAUGUAACCAGUGGAUUUCUGGAAAAUAAAUUAUCUUGUGAAAUAAAUAAUCAAGAGGAGGUGACUGUUUGCAUGCAUAUCUGCCAUGAAGUAAGGAUCUCUAAUGGGAACUGAAAUUGAGAGUGUCAUUUGGAAAGAUGUGGAGUAUCUGUAUCUGCAGCUUAGC
rnacentral:lncRNA from 1 species